UCUUCCUUAGUAUAGUGGUUAGUAUAUCCGCCUGUCACGCGGGUGACCGGGGUUCGAUUCCCCGAGGGAGAG
rfam:Microsporidia sp. TGP3 contig-69, whole genome shotgun sequence.